rnacentral:misc_RNA from 1 species
GAGAGAGAGAGAGAGAGGGAAGUGUCAGUGUGGGUUUUAGUGAUUUGGAUCUGCAAGUUUAGAUCUUACUAUCGGGAGGCAGAGGCUGAAGCCAAAGUGAAUCAACUAAAACAAGUGUAGACUCGUGAAGGUUCAUUUGCUGUGAUUAGUAAUUUUUGGGCUUCGAGAACUGCUAGUGAUAGUCUAGAAAAAUGAACAGCGUGUCUGUGAGAAAGUGGAAGCUUAUAGCCGUUGGGAUGUGUUGACUUGUGGAUUCAACACCGAUAGUGAAUUAAG